UCCAUAAAGUGGCCUUCUGAGUGUUUGCUUUGCGAUGAAAGAAAACUUUUGAGAGCUUGGAAUAAAGAAGGAAUAGGGGCUCCCUUUCCUGCAGUAGCUACUUUGUUUGGGUCUGAGAAGCCAGACUCAGAAAACUGCCCUGCCCCGUGACUUCCAUCUGCUCCUCUCCUGAUAAUUGUAAAAGCCAAUGAAGAUUGUGCUUCUUAACUACACAUCAGCCGGCUGAUUGUAAGUGUUGGGAAUAUAAUUAGGGGUACACGGCUCUGACCCUCACUCUUCGUAGGUUUAACAAGAUUGGACUUACGCAAUGGCAAGAAGGAAACCGAGAUUGAAAAUGACCAAUUUUGCUGGUUGAGAGGCGUCUUGUUUUCUGGAAGAAACUGAGAAUCUGCAGUUGUAGACUGGGAAUGCUAGAACCUCUGGAGUGGCAUCAACUCGAUCGGGGGGUUACCGACUUGGAGCUAUUUGCAAAGGACACGUGCUGC
rnacentral:lncRNA from 1 species